rnacentral:rRNA from 1 species
AUGGGACAGUUUCUUAGACCUCCUGAAGAUGCAUCUCCUGAUGUACAGCAGUGGCUUCAGGAAAGGCAGGCCUAUGCUGAACAUCUUAAACACCAUUUACAAAGAGCUCAGCAGAAGUGCAAAGCAGAGGCUGACAAACAUCGUUCUCCUAGAGAGUUUGCAGUAGGGGAAGAUGUCUUCUUGAAACUACAACCAUAUGGUCAACUCUCAUUACUCAACAGACCAUGUCCCAAGCUUGCUUUCAAGUAUUUUGGUCCGUUCAAGAUACUGGAAAAGAUUGGCCCAGCAACAUAUAAAUUGGAGUUGCCACCGGAUGCCCAGAUUCACAAUGUGUUUCAUGUCUCUCAGUUGAAGCAGCAUGUUCCUGACCACACUCCAGUGUUCCAGUCCCUUCCAAAACUGCCUCACUUGGAUACUGAAGAAUUGUCUCCUACUGAGAUUCUGGAUCGGCGUUUGGUCAAGCGGGGCAAUGCUGCCUUGUUACAAGUUCUGGUGCGUUGGGCGACCCAACCAGUCGAGUUUGCUACCUGGGAAGACUACACCGCACUUCAGAAGAAAUUUCCGGAGGCAGCAGUUUGGGGACAACCUGCUUCUCAAGGAGAGGGCACUGUCAUCGCCCCUACUCUGUUAGGCGAGACAGAGUCGAGUAUUCAGCGAUCACAGAAGGCGCAAGCAACGGUGGCUGUGGCUGAGUCGAAUUCGAGUGGUGGAAUGGGUCAUGUAUUGGGCCAUGGGCCGCGUGAGUGUAGUGGUAAUGUGUGUGGGUCUGGAGCAUUAUAUAAGCUCACCUCACUGUAG